UCCAUACUCGAUGCUCACAGCAUAUAGGUGGCCUCCCUCCGUCGGUCGCUUUUGCUUGCCGCUGAUCUCAUCCGCUCCCAAACGAUUCCCCAUUCACCCGUAAGUCUUCCAAAUAUAACCAGUGGCAGCGGCAGAAAAUUCGUCUUCCACUACUCUGCUCUGGCUAUCUUAUCUGCAACAGAUAUUUCAGCCUGGAUUUCGAUCACUGCCUGCUCAGCUGCAUUGUUUGAAGUAACUACUGACAUUACAGGGGAUUGUUUAAACUUGGAACUAUUUUAGAUAUUCCAAUUCAUCAUGUCAGACCAUGUUGUACAGACAAUUCAUGAUAGUGAUGCAAGAGUUACAAAAUCAAUGCAUCCUUACCAAUCCAUCUGGAUGGCCCAUUGGAUGCAAACAAAUUGUGACUCAGCAGUAGAGAUUUCUAAUCAUAUCUCUCCUAAUGGUGGUAGCAAAGAAGAACGUUGUGACAGUAGGCAGGGCCCCAUUCAUGUUCAAACUUAUGAGCCUAACAAGGUCACAAGGUCAGUUGUAGAUGAGGGUCCACGCAAUAUUUUGGAGCACUUAAGUGAAUGGAGACACAGACAAAACUUAGAGGUGGAAUUUGAUGUUCUUGAAUAUGGAAAAGGAGUUGAAGCAGUAAAUGAAGCUGAAAGAGCUGUACCAAGGAACAAGACACCAAAGAUGAACUUAAGAAAUUGUAAAAAUGCAAUAUCAGGAUGCAAAUCCUUUCCAAUCUUCAAUUUCAACCAAACGAAAGAGAGUAGUUUGGAUUCAAAGAAUGAUCCAAUUGUCUAUGGCAGACACAUAUCCAGGUCUCAAUUUGAUGGAAACACAGGGCAGGUUGCUGCCAUGAAGGGCACAUGUCAGCCUACUGAAAAUACACCUCAAAUUUCUGGGCAUCUGGUGAAUUCUCGUAAGUGUCUUGAAAAGAAAAGUUUGCCUGCUUCAAGGCUGUUUAAGGAUGAUCUUAUGGAGUCAAGAUGCAAUGUUAUGCCUUAUGGUUUUAAGUCUGGUGGAACACCAGAACAGUCCUUAAGGUGCACAACAAAAGAAACUGAUUGGUCAAUCCCUGGGUUGUCAUCCAAAAAACACCUCGAAAAUGCUAAAUUUUGUCAUGAUAGACAUGAAAACCCUAACUAUGGCAGCUCUUCCACUUCUAAGCUUUUGGCCUGUGAUAAUAAGGAGAUGGAUAACCAUCUAAAUGAUAGAAAUUGUGGAAAUCAUUAUAUGGUGCCGAGGAAUGGAGCAUUGCAGAUGCAUGAUCCUUCAACUAGUGGUUUCACUCCCCCAAUUUUUAUUGGACAACAAAGUAAGAAACAUAAUUUUCCUUGUUCUGAAUUUUUAACAAGCUACGGCAGAUCUCCCGGAAAAAUGAAGUUGGAAGAGUUAAACUAUGGAUGUAGAUCACUAGAAAGAAGGCCAAGGCGUUCUAUUCAUGAUGUAGAAACUCUGAGAGUUUGCACUACUGUUGAUUCUGUGGAAGGAUUGCCUGGUGCUCCUUCCAGGUUUUCUCAGGCAACUGAACAUUUGUUGAUCACCAAAAAGACUGAUGUUAACUUGUCUAAGGGAAGCCAAAUUAUCAGAGAGUCAAUGGUAUCCACCAAAUUCAAGCAAAAUGCCUUUCAUGAAUUGUUUACAUUACCUUUUAGUUUUGGUUUGCAUGGUAAGGGAGGAGCAAAGCUUCACUCUUUAGGGAACUCCAUUUUCCAACAAAGAAAUGGCAUUCAGGAUGUCAAGACUGAUUCACUAGUUUUAAAGAAUCAAUUAUCAGCUGAAACUGAUACCAUGGACAUGGAUAUUUUUCAUGCCAGGAGCUCUCUUCCAGGUGAAGCUUCGCAUCCAUCAAAGGACGUCAUGAUGGACCAAGCUCAGGAAAUGACCGAUUCACCGAAGGAAAUUGAAAGCAUUGAGGCACAAAAAGAGUUAUUUGAUAUAAACCAAGAAGCUACUGUAACUUCAGCUGCAGCAGGUACAAUGGCCAACAGAGAGUUGAGCACAUCAAGUACGAAGAGUCUGGAUGUGGAUCACCUUCUUUCCCAUACCAAGCAGCUUGAGGAUUCAACCUUCAUUCCCCACCAAAACAGCCGUCUAGUCCAGGAGCCUGACAACAGAUGGAUUAAGCGUCUUAAGCUAAGUGCUUCAGAUUCUCCUGCUCGUGGUAACAAGAUAUCAAAAUUGGGAGAUGCAUCAUCCAGUGAUAGUAAGUUGCUUGGACCAAUUAUGAUUUACGGGAGAACCAUCUUAGAGCCCGUAUUUGGCGAAGUGAACAGGAAGGGGCAGGAGUCAGAUAAGGCCAUUAUGUUAUCAGGUAACAGAGGAUCUUCUUCGCCAGAUUUGGUGAAUGAAUAUUGGGAUCUAUCACAUUCUUGGCUUCAAAGAUGGUGUCGAAAUUAUGCAUUGGCACCAUUAGUGAAGCCAAAAUCUACCCUGGUUGGAGAAAAAAGCACCAAGAUAACUUCAGAGGAGUUCCAAAGGAAGGAAUUUCCAAGUAUUGCUGCUAUGGCACUAAUGGGGAAGACCAUGAGUAGCUUCCAUCCAUGCGAGUUCAGGAAAAAGAGAUCUUUUGUACUUUGGAAUACAUAGAGGCCCAGAGAAUACUCUAGAAUGCUUAUUGCAUGGUGGAAUAUGAACUAUUGAAAGUUCCUCCUUGAUCUUGUGAAACAAAGAAUGGAACUCAUCAGGAACUUCCAAUUACAGUGGUGAAGGUAGUUGAUCAUGUGAGGAGAAGAUAAUUUGUUUUAGUUAUCUAAAUGAUAAAAUCUCGGGCUGGGAAGCGUGAGAAUGUAGGUUCUAGUCUGAAAGUGGUCACUUUAUGCAAAAAAAAACAAAAAAAGUACCCUUAUGUUUACUAAAUAAAGCAAACUGGAAGUCGAGUGGUGAGGCCUUUGAAGCCCAUAUACUAUAUUGGCUUCUGAGAACUAGGAGUCGAAGUGGUCAGAGACACUUUCAGCUCAGGUGGUAUGCCACGGCCAUUUGUUUCAUGAGACAGCUACAUGUCACAGAACAGACUAUUUCCUCUAUUGGCAUGUGUAUACCUAAAAAUCUUGUGAUGAUACCAUUGGCAUCAUGAGAGUGCACAUGUGUAUACCUAAAAUCUUGUGAUGAUACCAUCAUUUUCCUGUGUCA